UGGUGGGAGCUCAGUGGUUAAAAUGUUGCCGUUCUGAUCGGAAGGUCGUGAGUUCAAAUCCCAACACUGCCAA